UAAAAUAAAAACAUAAGCGGUGUUUGAACCAAGAUUGUUAACUUUUAUUCUGCUUACAACUGCAGCAGAUACCGACAGACUUUGUUUUUGCUCUUUUCACAAUAAAAGACCUGGACAGCAGGCAAUACACUGUGUUACUGUUGUACCAGCAGGUAACCUAAACUCACUCUGACCACACAUUUUUGAUUUAUUUUUGAUCUGAUGUGGUCAGAGCGAGUCUUUUGUCUUCCUUAGCAUCAAUAACUUUGCAAGUGGACACGUUCUGCAAGGCUGCAGCUCGACCUUUGCUGUGAACCACAAAGUGCAGCUUCUGUUUCACCCAGCAGAAGUGGAGAACAGCGAUAUCUCUACAAAGUCAAAGGCCCAAAUCACCUCAGUUACAGAGACACGAUACCAGUCAGGCAACAUCUGAGCCCAUUUUCACACCCAGCCAUAAUCAAGCAGGCCCAAAAAGUCCUCUCAUGUCCUCCAUCUCUUAGUUCCCUGACCAUUAAAGCCAUUAACACCACCCAGGCUGAAAUACGUGGCUGUCGUUCUCGUCGUUGAUCACCGUAAUACAUCUUAACGUGAUGCAGACAGGAUGUGCAACUGAAUGAUGAAAGCAUUCGCCGUGUUUUACUAGUUCUUUGCUGUGAUUUUAUGCUACAGGGACGCUGAUGUCUCACUCGAACGAUAAAGUGUCCACGCAGCCGACAAUUAAGUCGUUUAACUGGCGCUUUUAUCUACAGAGAGCGACUUACAGUGAAGGUAAUGAACCCGGCACCUCGAGGAUUACAAGCGAGCGCUAAUCAGCGAUACAACCUGAUCAAAGAAAAACACGCUGUUGUGAAAUUGUCGCGUGCUUUAUCUGAACAAAGAUCACCCCGGUCGUUGCCUGUCAAUGAAACGGCGAUGUGUGAUGGAGGAGUGCCGUGUGUGGAGGAGGAGGAGGAGGAGGGUGGAUAAAAGUUCUGAAGUGGCAGAGCGGGCCGGUGUUACGGCCCGGUAGGGAGGCUGAGUCAGUGGAUGAGCUCUUUGUCCCAGUGGAGCUUUAGUUCUCAUCGACACAGCGUGACGUAAAUGUCACCUCCACCAGGCUCGCUCAUUACGGCCACACAGCCCGGAGGAGGAGGAGGGGGGGACGCCAAAGCUUGGAUUGACAUUCAAAGAGUCGUAGGACAAGAGCGUUAUAGGUACAGUUUGUGUGCGUUGGUAUCAUCGCUGCAGACUCUGAUAUCUGAUGAGGGUCCUCUUGUCCCGCCGCGCUCUCAGGCUCGAUGAUUAAGAACUAUACAUCACCGUUCGUAUCGAUUUCCGAUUACGUCGCCGUUCUCUGCGCCGACAAACAUAAAGACAGGUCGACCGGUCAAUAAAUCAACCUCAUGUGAUAUUCAUGUACACCUCAACCGCUGUUUUACCUCCAGCGUGCAGCACCAGCUAGCACGCAACACCAAGAGACGCAGAUGUUUGGCCGGGGAGCAGAUUUAAAGAUGAGUUUGAGUCACUUUGAGUCGCUCACAGCAGUUAUUGACACGCUAACCUGACUGCUACAGAGGACACAGCAAGUGUAGUCGAGGCCACAGUGAGAGUUUUGAGACUAUCAAGGAUGAACUUAGUUUGUCAAGACAAGAAGGAGAAGCUAACUUUGGAGUCAGAAAGAAACUAGAGUGUUAAAAAGAGGAACAGCAAAGCUGCCAUGCCGGGUUCAUGUGUGAACACCACGGAGAGCGACCGCAGCGGGUCGAUCCCGGCAGUCAGCCGGUGUUUCAGCACCGCGGGCAGCACCGCCAGCCUGCCGCGGGUCCUGCCCCAUCACCGGCGGUCACACACGGAUUAUAACACCGCCAAGGUGACCCUGAUGAAAUCCACCAAACAUCCUCUCCCACAUAUAAAUCAUGUGAGGGGGGGUUAGAACAGGAAAACACUUCGUUUAGACGUGAACAUUAGGGGAUUUCUGCUGACAGUGCGCACAAACCGAGAGAGAAUCAAACCCAAAAGAUGUGGAAAUCAGGGCAGAACGUGGCAGAAUCAUCCUCCAACAACAGCUGGUGGUGUUUCAACAGCGACGUGAAGGAUUUAUUAAGCGACGACAACAACACAGCGCCGCUGAGCUCACGCCGCGUCUCCAGGAGACGUCACCGGCGCGUCACGUAUUGACAGACGAUCCAGCCAAUUGAGGCGAUGACGCAGAAGUUUGACAAGUUCGCCUUUGAAAUGUGCGAGUUGUAAUUAACAGCGACUUAAAUGGCAUUAAGUAGAUUGCCUCUCUUAUUGGCUUUGAGGAUCGAUACGUUUGGAGUCGAUCGCUGCGUAAAAGAGCGCAUCGUGUGCGUAAAAAUGGCCAGAAGGAAAAAAAAAAACAAAAAACAGAAAGGUUG